rnacentral:tRNA from 1 species
ACUUAAGUAGUUUAAUAUAAAAUAUUGAUUUGUGGUGUCGAUGAUAUAAUUAAUUUAUCUUAGGUU